GUCCCCCUACACGCGCGCACACACUUUCCUGUAAGGUUGGCAAGCUGGUCAACUGACCACAUAUUUUUUUGCCCAAAGAUUACAGUGAUUUUAGGAAUAUAUAUUUGUAUGUUUCUUGAUGGAAACAUGAUUUUUUUUUACUGUUUUCUGACACACUUUAUAAUGGAAAAUUUGUGCUUUUUCUGCAUCUUAUUUGGACCUGUUGACAUUUCUGGGGGGUGUUUUUUGUUUUGUUUUCUUUUUUACAAUAGUGGAUGGAUAUUUGACAGGUCAAUUAAACAAACUGUAUUUGACAGGUCAAAUACCUAACUUUGCUUUGCUCCUUGUUCACGUGGUUCCCCAGCCAGACAUGCGUGUCACACAGGAUCCUUACAGCCCCCACUCCCGCCCCUGGCUCUCCGCCCAGGAUGUGAGCUAUGCACGUCCUGACCCGCUGAGAGGGGAAGCCAAAGCCUAGGGCAGGCCUCAGCCCCCCUGUUCCCAGCAAUGUCAGCUGAGGCCUGCUCUGCUUAGCUCUGACCACCAAGGGAUAGCCCCUGCCACAUCUCCAGCCCUGCCUUUGUGGGAGCAUCGCUAUACACACACACUCCAGCAGCCAAGCUGAGGGAACAGACACAGCAUGACCUUCACACCAGCACCAGUGGGGAGACAUGGGGUGUUGCUCUGGGAGAGUUCAUGUAACAACACUCCCCCCCACCCCCCAAGAGAAGAAGUGCUGAUGGAUAUCCCAGGUGAAGGCUGGUACCAGCUUGUUCCACGAACAGGGUGGUACCAACCAGGCCUGGGUGCAGACACAGCUCCACCAGCAAAGACAUGUUUUCUGCUGCGCGCCGUGAGCUGUGCCAAGAUGAUGCUUUGGGAGUAGGAGGACCUGAACUUUCUGCCCCAAGCUCCCUACCACAUGUCUAACAGCCCAGAUGAAAAGCAUGCAAUCAAGAGAUGGAUACCCCAGACACUUUCAUUCCAGGCAUAUUGCAGAGAGUGAGGCAGAGCACUGCGAUACAGCUUGCUGGCUGCAUACCCAAGUGUUGCCCUAAGCCAGGCACCACCACCCUCCCUGAGCUGCGGAGAGAACCCAGGAGUCCUGCCUCACGCUGUGCUACCCGUCUCACAGAAACACGUUUGUAA